CGAAGCUCGUCCCAGCCAGUCACGGCGCCAUGGGGGCGGAGAAGAAGCUGCUGUAGUUUAAGGAGGCCUUUCAGCUGGCGCAGCAGCCGCACCAGAACCAGGCAAAGUUCGAGGUGGCGCUGAGCCGCACCCACAGCAAGAAGGCAGUUAGAACAUACAGAGAACUCAUGGAGAGAGGAAAGGCCGUGUGAGGACACUGGAAGAAGACACGUACAAGCCAAGAAAAGGGCCCUCAGGAGGACCCGGACCUGCUGACAGUUUGAUCCUCAGAAGUCCAGCCUCCAAAACCAAGAAAAUAAAUUUCUGUUGUUUAAGCCAUCUCGUCUGUACUACUUUGUUAUGGCAAUUCUGGUAAACAAAUACAGGUAGAAUUGCUAGAUGGGAGUAUGUCGGUGUGCAGAGCCCAAUGAGGGGCUCAAACUCAAGAACCGUGAGAUCAUGACCUGAGCCGAAAUCGAGUUGGACCCUUAACUGACUGAGCCACACGGGCGUCCCUCCUCUUAUUUCUUUUUGUACUAGUAUGUUUUGUUUCCCAUUUUACUUUAUUUGUCCUAUAAAUAUUAGGUGUAGUUAAUACUAACUUGAAGAAAAUGAGUUAUGUAACAAAAUAUAAGAAAACUAGAGGGAAGUCACAUUCUUCUACAGCUUAUAUAACUGAACAGAUGCUUUGAAAUCAGUGAUGUGAAAAAAAUCUUCUAUAAGCCUGGUUACACUUCACUGAACUAUCUUAGAGUUGCUUCAUCUGUCUGAUAUGUAAAAGUAGCCUGCAGUGGCAGACUCACUGUUUUCUUUUUUAGUAACUCCCAGUGAACUGAUGGGAAUUUGCAAAAACAAUGGUUGUAGGUAUAUGACAAAUUAAUUCAUCAUUAAACGCCAUUACCUUGAUUAUUUCCUAACACAAUAGAAAUAUGUAAGCUGAUAGGGAGAACAGAAGGUUAUAUCACUGAAAAGUUUCAUGCGAUGAUCCCUUUGUAAGAAAAAAAUAUCCCAUGCAAUUUCACUAUUGUGUAAAUACAACAGAGAAAUAAUCCCAAAUAAACACAAUGCAAAUAAAAA